CCUACGGGUGGCAGCAGUGGGGAAUAUUGGGCAAUGGGCGCAAGCCUGACCCAGCAACGCCGCGUGAAGGAAGAAUGCUUUCGGGUUGUAAACUUCUUUUCAGAGGGACGAAGAAAGUGACGGGAGCGCAGGAAUAAGCGACGGCUAACUACGAGCCAGCAGCCGCGGUAAUACGUAGGUGGCACGCGUUAGCCGGAUUUGUGGGGUGUAACGGGCGUGUAGGCGGGAACGCAAGUCAGAUGUGAAAACUUCGGGCUCAACCCUGAGCCUGCAUUUGAAACUGUUUUUCUUGAGUGCUGGAGCGGUCAGUGGAAUUCCUAGUGUAGCGGUGAAAUGCUUAGAUAUUACGAGGAACACCAGUUGCGAAGGCGGCUUACUGGACUGUACCUGACGUUGAGGCUCGAAAGCGUGGGUAUCAAACAGGAUUAGAUACCCUUGUAGUC
rnacentral:rRNA from 1 species